GAGACACAGAGGCCCAAGUCCCCAGAAAUGUCCCUGCUGAGAUGCAGGCAGCAGACCCUGCCAUCACUCUGCCUCUCUGUGCUGUUCCUGGCCUGCUUUGUAGCAUCCAUGCCUACAGAAAGCUUGACCCCCACUCCUGGCCCUGAGAACAGCCGCUGGAGCCUGGUAAGAGCCAGGGUGAUGGAGAUGGUGGAACCACUGGUGACCAGAACCAGGGACAGAUGGCGGUGGUUCUGGUGAGAGAGUUCUUGUGCUCAGCUGGGAGGGGACACCAGAGUUAGAGAGGAGAGAAAGCCUGUGACUAGACCCUGAGUCUGAGGGAAGAAGGCUGGGACCUGGACCCCUGGGUCUGAGGGAGGAGGGCUGGGGAUCUGGACUCCUGGGUCUGAGGGAGGAGGGCUGGGGGACUCUUGGGUCUGAGGGAGGAGGGCUGGGGAUCUGGACUCCUGGAUCUGAGGGAGGAGGGGAUCUGGAUGCCUGGGUCUGAGGGAGGAGGUCUGGGGAUCUGGACUCCUGGGUCUGAGGGGAUCUGGACUUCUGGGUCUGAGGGAGGAGGGCUGGGGAUCUGGACUCCUGGGUCUGAGGGAGGAGAGAUGGGAGUCUGGACUCCUGGGUCUGAGAGAGAAGGGCUGGGGAUCUGGACUCCUGGGUCUGAGGGAGGAAAGAUGGGAGUCUGGACUCCUGGGUCUGAGGGAAGAGUACAAAGACUCUGGAGUAUUGAGUCUGAAAAAGGUCAGAAGUAAACGGGCAAUACAGCUGGAGUAUCUGGUUUGUCAUCUGAGAUGUGCCCUUUACACAGGGGCCCCAGAGCUAUCCAGGGCUUCGUGCAGACCUACUAUGAAGAUCACCUGAAAGACCUGGGUCCCCGAACUCAGGCCUGGCUGCAGAGCUCCAGAGACCACCUCCUAAACAAGACCCACAGCCUGUGUCCCAGACUGCUCUGCAGGGACUGGACUCAGGGUUAAAGUGCCACCACGUACCUCCCUCCCCUGGAACCCACAAUAAAGGUGUUUGUUCUUG
rnacentral:lncRNA from 1 species